rnacentral:rRNA from 1 species
AGCGGCGGACGGGUGAGUAAUGCUUGGGAAUAUGCCUUAUGGUGGGGGACAACAGUUGGAAACGACUGCUAAUACCGCAUAAUGUCUACGGACCAAAGUGGGGGACCUUCGGGCCUCACGCCAUAAGAUUAGCCCAAGUGGGAUUAGCUAGUUGGUGAGGUAAUGGCUCACCAAGGCGACGAUCCCUAGCUGGUUUGAGAGGAUGAUCAGCCACACUGGGACUGAGACACGGCCCAGACUCCUACGGGAGGCAGCAGUGGGGAAUAUUGCACAAUGGGCGCAAGCCUGAUGCAGCCAUGCCGCGUGUGUGAAGAAGGCCUUCGGGUUGUAAAGCACUUUCAGUAAGGAGGAAAGGUUAAGUGUUAAUAGCGCUUAGCUGUGACGUUACUUACAGAAGAAGCACCGGCUAACUCCGUGCCAGCAGCCGCGGUAAUACGGAGGGUGCGAGCGU